UACGGAGAGGGCUAGCGUUGUUCGGAAUUACUGGGCGUAAAGCGCACGUAGGCGGCUUUGUAAGUCAGAGGUGAAAGCCCGGGGCUCAACUCCGGAAUUGCCUUUGAGACUGCAUCGCUUGAAUCCGGGAGAGGUGAGUGGAAUUCCGAGUGUAGAGGUGAAAUUCGUAGAUAUUCGGAAGAACACCAGUGGCGAAGGCGGCUCACUGGACCGGUAUUGACGCUGAGGUGCGAAAGCGUGGGGAGCAAACAGG
rnacentral:rRNA from 1 species